UGGAUCCUACGGGACGCAGCAGUGGGGAAUAUUGCACAAUGGGGGAAACCCUGAUGCAGCAACGCCGCGUGAGUGAAGAAGUAUUUCGGUAUGUAAAGCUCUAUCAGCAGGGAAGAGAAUGACGGUACCUGACUAAGAAGCCCCGGCUAACUACGUGCCAGCAGCCGCGGUAAUACGUAGGGGGCAAGCGUUAUCCGGAUUUACUGGGUGUAAAGGGAGCGUAGACGGCGUGCCAAGUCUGAUGUGAAAGGCCGGGGCUCAACCCCGGGACUGCAUUGGGAACUGGCAUGCUGGAGUGCCGGAGG
rnacentral:rRNA from 1 species